GUGGUACCCCCACAGGUGGUUAUAGCUCAGGUAUACCCUACGGUAUUCUAACAAGGAUACCAUGUCACAACACAUGCGACACAACAAAGGGGUUCUAACAUGUACAUGUUAAACUGAAACGAGAUAUCAACACAAAGUCUCCAAAAAUAUUAACAUGCACAUUACUACAAUAUCAAAAUAAAUUUAGAUAUGUUGUACUAGUCUACAGAGUACAAAUAUGAGUUCCAACUAUGAACGCCAAACGAAACUAUCACAAUGAAUUUGACAAGAUAUAAUCAUGAGAGGCAAUGCUAAUUUUUAAAACGCAUAACGAAACGAACUAAUUAAAAACAAAAGAAUCUCGCUGAAAGAGUACGGAAUCCGUACA
rnacentral:lncRNA from 1 species